GAUGAACGCUGGCAGCGUGCCUAAUACAUGCAAGUCGAGCGAACAGACGAGGAGCUUGCUCCUCUGACGUUAGCGGCGGACGGGUGAGUAACACGUGGAUAACCUACCUAUAAGACUGGGAUAACUUCGGGAAACCGGAGCUAAUACCGGAUAAUAUAUUGAACCGCAUGGUUCAAUAGUGAAAGACGGUUUUGCUGUCACUUAUAGAUGGAUCCGCGCCGCAUUAGCUAGUUGGUAAGGUAACGGCUUACCAAGGCAACGAUGCGUAGCCGACCUGAGAGGGUGAUCGGCCACACUGGAACUGAGACACGGUCCAGACUCCUACGGGAGGCAGCAGUAGGGAAUCUUCCGCAAAGGGCGAAAGCCUGACGGAGCAACGCCGCGUGAGUGAUGAAGGUCUUCGGAUCGUAAAACUCUGUUAUUAGGGAAGAACAAAUGUGUAAGUAACUAUGCACGUCUUGACGGUACCUAAUCAGAAAGCCACGGCUAACUACGUG
rnacentral:rRNA from 1 species